rnacentral:rRNA from 1 species
CUGGCUCAGGAUGAACGCGAGCGGCAGGCCUAACACAUGCAAGCCGAGGGGUAAGUCUCUUUCGGGAGAACACGACCGGCGCACGGGUGAGUAACGCGUAUGCAACCUACCUUUGGCACGGGGACAGCCCGGGGAAACCCGGAUUAAUACCCGGUAUAGUCUGUUAUACACCUGUAUAAAAGACGAGAGCUACGGCGGCCAAAGAUGGGCAUGCGUGCCAUUAGUUAGUUGGUAGGGUAACGGCCUACCAAGGCAUCGAUGGCUACGGGGUCUAAAAGGAUGAGCCCGCACACUGGUACUGAGACACGGACCAGACUCCUACGGGAGGCAGCAGUGAGGAAUAUUGGUCAAUGGGUGGAAGCCUGAACCAGCCAUGCCGCGUGCAGGAAGACGGCCUUAUGGGUUGUAAACUGCUUUUCUACGGGACGAACGGCUCUGACGUGUCAGAGAUUGACGGUACCGUAGGAAUAAGCAUCGGCUAACUCCGUGCCAGCAGCCGCGGUAAUACGGAGGAUGCGAGCGUUAUCCGGAUUUAUUAGGUUUAAAGGGUGCGUAGGCUGGGCAAUAAGUCAGUGGUGAAAGUCCGCGGCUCAACCGUGGGAUUGCCAUUGAAACUGUUGUUCUUGAGUACAGUCGAGGUAGGCGGAAUGUGUAAUGUAGCGGUGAAAUGCAUAGAUAUUACCCAGAACACCGAUUGCGUAGGCAGCUUACCAGCCUGGAACUGACGCUGAUGCACGAAAGCGUGGGGAGCGAACAGGAUUAGAUACCCUGGUAGUCCACGCCGUAAACGAUGAUCACUCGCUGUUGGCAAUAUAGAGUCAGCGGCUGAGCGAAAGCAUUAAGUGAUCCACCUGGGGAGUACGUCGGCAACGAUGAAACUCAAAGGAAUUGACGGGGGCCCGCACAAGCGGUGGAACAUGUGGUUAAUUCGAUGAUACGCGAGGAAACUUACCUGGGC